GUUUUAGUAGUUUAAAUAAAAACAUUGGUCUUGUAAAUCAAUAUUAAGCUUUCCAUUAUGCUUCUAAAACU
rnacentral:tRNA from 1 species